rnacentral:rRNA from 1 species
CCCUUAGAUGUCCUGGGCCGCACGCGCGCUACACUGAGUGUCUGAGAUACGAGUCUGCCUGGUCCGGCAAGGUCUAGGUAAUCGCUAAAAGACACAUCAUGCUUGGGAUAGAUUAUUGCAAAUAUUAAUCUUGAACGAGGAAUUCCUAGUAAGCGCAAGUCAACAGCUUGCGUUGAUUACGUCCCUGCCCUUUGUACACACCGCCCGUCGCUACUACUGAUUGGAUGUCUAAGCGAGGUUCUCGAACUGCUAGCGACUUAGCUUCGGUGAGGUCGCAGUGUGGGAAGUGAACCUAGCUUUGGUGUCUAGAGGAAGUAAAAGUCGUAACA